ensembl:ncRNA C31H1.98 ncRNA
UUAAAAAUACAAGUGAAAAGCGGGCGCUUGCUGUCGUACGAUUCAAUGUUUAGUCCGCAACGGUGUAUGCACGCCCUGUGAAAUACCGUACUCGUUUGAAAAUUUCAAUUUUUCUGCAAUUGCAUGCAAACGUUGGUCAAA